rnacentral:rRNA from 1 species
AUUGAACGCUGGCGGCAGGCCUAACACAUGCAAGUCGAGCGGUAGAGAGAAGCUUGCUUCUCUUGAGAGCGGCGGACGGGUGAGUAAUGCCUAGGAAUCUGCCUGGUAGUGGGGGAUAACGUUCGGAAACGGACGCUAAUACCGCAUACGUCCUACGGGAGAAAGCAGGGGACCUUCGGGCCUUGCGCUAUCAGAUGAGCCUAGGUCGGAUUAGCUAGUUGGUGGGGUAAUGGCUCACCAAGGCGACGAUCCGUAACUGGUCUGAGAGGAUGAUCAGUCACACUGGAACUGAGACACGGUCCAGACUCCUACGGGAGGCAGCAGUGGGGAAUAUUGGACAAUGGGCGAAAGCCUGAUCCAGCCAUGCCGCGUGUGUGAAGAAGGUCUUCGGAUUGUAAAGCACUUUAAGUUGGGAGGAAGGGUUGUAGAUUAAUACUCUGCAAUUUUGACGUUACCGACAGAAUAAGCACCGGCUAA